rnacentral:tRNA from 3 species
GAAAUCGGUAGACGCUACGGACUUAAAAUCCGUCGACUUUAAAAAUCGUGAGGGUUCAAGUCCCUCUAUCCCCA